UUUUCGCCAACUUCUCUUCAUCCUGUCAACAAACUGUCAAGUGAGCUGUCAAAUGUAAACAAAAACAAAUAAUUUUGAUGGCUUUAGCUUGUUGGGGUUCCACUUCGUAUUCCAUUACCAAAGUUUCUCUAAACUAACAAAUUUUAAAGUGCCGUUUUAUUAAUUCCACCGUGAUAGAUUUCACUGGAGAUUGAGCAGUAUGAAACCCGAAUAUUUUGAUGAGAAGGACGUCGGAAUCGUUCCUCGGAUCGUUCCACAACGGGAGUCAACCGCGGAGUCAACUGAGUUGGAAGAAUGCUUCCGCAGAGCGGAGAGCGCACUGAGUUAAUUGCAUGAAUGAUUACGGAAGAGAGAUACGAUACUAUUUGAAAAAAAUAAAUGAUUUUUCUAAUCAA